rnacentral:rRNA from 1 species
GGCUCUUCGGUUAUUAAUUAAAUGAGGAGUCGGACCUGCCCGGUGACCUACGGGUUAAACGGCCGCGGUACACUGACCGUGCAAAGGUAGCACAAUCACUUGCCCUUUAAUUAGAGGCUGGUAUGAAUGGUUUGACGAGGGUUGAGCUGUCUCUUUUGGAAUAUUUAAAAAUUAACUUCUAGGUGAAAAGGCCUAGAUUGAGCUGAGGGACGAGAAGACCCUGUUGAGCUUUAGUGUUGGGUAGAGAGUGGCAUUUCUAUUACUAAUAGAAAGUUUAGAUUUACUUUUACAUCUUUAGUUGGGGUGACUAGGGAACAUGGAUAGCUUCUCUGUUGUUUGUUUUACUUAAUUUGGUGGACUGACUGGUGAUCCAGCAUUGUUGAUUAUCGGAAAAAGUUACCACAGGGAUAACAGCGUAAUCUUUCUGGAGAGUUCACAUUGAAAGAAGGGUUUGCGACCUCGAUGUUGGAUUAAGGUGUCCUGAGGGUGUAGCAGCUUUCGUUGGUUGGUCUGUUCGACCAUUAAAACCUU